rnacentral:misc_RNA from 1 species
UCCGGUUCUUCACCAGCAGUCUCCUUAGAGUCCCCACCAUGACGUGUUGGCAACUAAGGAUAAGGGUUGCGCUCGUUACGGGACUUAACCCAACAUCUCACAACACGAGCUGACGACAGCCAUGCAGCACCUGUCUCAUAGUUCCUUUCGGCACUUCCGCAUCUCUGCAGAAUCCUAUGGAUGUCAAGAGUAGGUAAGGUUCUUCGCGUUGCAUCGAAUUAAACCACAUGCUCCACCGCUUGUGCGGGCCCCCGUCAAUUUCUUUGAGUUUUAACCUUGCGGCCGUACUCCCCAGGCGGAUGACUUAUCGCGUUAGCUUCGAUACUAAGGGGCUACGCCCCACAACAUCUAGUCAUCAUCGUUUACGGCGUGGACUAC